CGCCUGCCCUGUGACAAAAGUUCAACGGCCGCGGUAUUUUGACCGUGCAAAGGUAGCGCAAUCACUUGUCUUUUAAAUGAAGACCUGUAUGAAUGGCAUGACGAGGGCUUAACUGUCUCCUUUUUCCAGUCAAUAAAAUUGAUCUUCCCGUGCAGAAGCGGGAAUAUAACCAUAAGACGAGAAGACCCUAUGGAGCUUUAGACACAAGACAGAUCUUGUUAAACACUUCAAAAUAAAGAAACAAACUAAAAGAACCCUGCCCUACUGUCUUCGGUUGGGGCGACCACGGGGAGAUAAAUAACCCCCACGCGGACUGAGAAAACAGUUCUCACAACCAAGAGCUACAGCUCUAAUCAACAGAAAAUCUGACCUCAAGAUCCGGCAACGCCGAUCAACGAACCAAGUUACCCUAGGGAUAACAGCGCAAUCCCCUUUUAGAGUCCAUAUCGACAAGGGGGUUUACGACCUCGAUGUUGGAUCAGGACAUCCUAAUGGUGCAGCAGCUAUUAAGGGUUCGUUUGUUCAAC
rnacentral:rRNA from 1 species